rnacentral:rRNA from 1 species
ACCCGCACAAGCGGUGGAUGAUGUGGUUUAAUUCGAUGCAACGCGAAAACCUUACCACCUUUGACGUGUACGGAACCCUCCAGAGAUGGAGGGGUGCUCGAAAGAGAGCCGUAACACAGGUGCUGCAUGGCUGUCGUCAGCUCGUGUCGUGAGAUGUUGGGUUAAGUCCCGCAACGAGCGCAACCCUUGUCAUUAGUUGCUACAUUUAGUUGGGCACUCUAAUGAGACUGCCGGUGACAAACCGGAGGAAGGUGGGGAUGACGUCAAGUCCUCAUGGCCCUUAUAGGUGGGGCUACACACGUCAUACAAUGGCCGGUACAAAGGGCUGCCAACCCGCGAGGGGGAGCCAAUCCCAUAAAACCGGUCGUAGUCCGGAUCGCAGUCUGCAACUCGACUGCGUGAAGUCGGAAUCGCUAGUAAUCGUGGAUCAGAAUGUCACGGUGAAUACGUUCCCGGGUCUU